GAGACUUUGGAUCCAGCCGACGGGCCGCAGCUCUUCUCUUUCACAAUGUUUCUUCUGGCACUUUUCACUUCUUACGGGUGUGAUGUUCGUGUGGAGGAAUGAUACUUGCUCUGCUGAGGAGUGCUUCCCCAGACCCUUGGGUCCCUGAGCACGACCCUCGGUAAAUAUAGACAUGGCCUAGCGCACACCUGUCCGGCGUCCGUCAAAAGCAAAGAGCUGAAGACACGACAAUCGCUUACAAGGUCAACUAAAGCUGCUGAACCUUCAAAAGCCUUCAAAAGAAAUGCUGCCCUUCCUGUGUAAAG